rnacentral:rRNA from 1 species
AUGCCGGAAAAGGGCAGGAGAGCCGCCUUCGCCCUCCCCUCGCCCCCUCGCUGGUCCAACCGCCGCACCCAGUUCCCUGGACGGGACGACAACGACUGCAGUAGAGGGCCGCCGCUGCUGCUCCUCGGCCUCGUGGCCACGGCCUUGGCCCGGACCUCGCCCGCUGCUCCUCUCACCACAUGCUCCGCUGUGAGCGCAAGCGUCUUCGAGGUGUCGCCGGAGUCAAUGCAGUGCGGCUACGACGAUAGGGGGAACUCGGUGCCCAAGAUCCUCCUGCUCAUGCAGGAGAGGAUCUACUCCCAGGAUGGCCUCAAGGCAGAUGGGAUCUUCCGCAUCACUCCGGAGAACAGCCAGGAGGAGCAUGUCAGGGAGCAGCUAAACAUGGGUGUCGUGCCUGACUACAUCGACGUCCACUGCCUGGCUAGCCUGAUUAAGCAAGAUGGAAGCGACAUAGUCACAGAAGGCCAGCGGUCAAGUCUACGUAGCCGAUACCGUAAACGUAGGCCGCCGACAAUCAUAUCAUAG